rnacentral:tRNA from 1 species
GCGGGUGUAAUUCAAUGGUAGAAUACCAGUUUUCCAAACUGGGUACGGGAGUCCGAUUCUCCUCACCCGCUCCA